rnacentral:lncRNA from 1 species
AGCCUGUAAACUUUAAAUAUGCGACUAGGAAAGCCACAAAUUUUUUCUUCCAGAUGCUUUGCAAUGUACAGGAGGAAGCAUAAGUUCAAUCUAACUACACUACCAACAACUUUUAUCACCUCAAUGGGUUGUUUCCAGUUCUUCUUGAUUCCUGGCAGGUGACCCUUCCCUACGACUGCUACAACAGAGUUGUGUUCACCAGCAACUCUUAGUAAUG